CAGGACUGAUGGAAGUCAAAAAAAUUGAAUAAGAUGUACAAAUAUGUUUAAUUACUGUUGAAAAUGGUAUGUUAAAAAAAACUAAUAAAAAUGUGUGUGUGUGUGUGUGUGUGUGUGUGUGUGUGUAUGUAAAGGAACCCCUGACCAUUAGGUCCAGUCGUGGCUGACUCUGG